rnacentral:rRNA from 1 species
GGUCCAACCUGCCCAGUGACCAUGUGUUUAACGGCCGCAGUAUUUUGACUGUGCGAAGGUAGCGUAAUCACUUGUCUUUUAAAUGGAGACCUGUAUGAACGGUAAAACGAGGGCUUAACUGUCUCCUUUUUCUAGUCAAUGAAAUUGAUCCCCCCGUGCAGAAGCGGGGAAACAGACAUAAGACGAGAAGACCCUGUGGAGCUUUAGACGCCAGAGCAGACCAUGUUAAACACCCCAAGCUAAAGGAAUAAACUGAUUGAAUACUGCUCCCAUGUCUUCGGUUGGGGCGACCGUGAGGAAAUUAAAAAACCCUCCACGUGGAAUGGGAGCAACAAUCCCUCGAAGAUCUUUCUCUUCUUUGUCUCCCACAACCAAGAGCCACAGUUCUAAGCAACAGAAUAUCUGACCAAUAGAGAUGCAAAGCCGAUUAACGAACCAAGUUACCCCAGGGAUAACAGCGCAAUCCCCUUCUAGAGCCCAUAUCNACAAGGGGGUUUACGACCUCGAUGUUGGAUCAGNACAUCCUAAUGNCAGCNGCUAUUGAGGGUUCGUUUGUUNAANGA